AAAUGACAACUAAUUUUUUUCACAUGAGAUCAAGGCAGCCAUUUUGGGUGUUGCGCUCUUGUCCACUUUUUUCCCGGGGUGAAAUUGUGGUGUGGGUCACGUGACUCACCCGGGUUUCCGAUCCGAAAAAUUGGCACGAUCUGCUUCAGGUACCGUGAGCUCUGGGAAGCCUGAAGAAAAGAGGAGCUGGAACAAAAGAAGAAGUCUUCGCCUACCUGCAGUAACAGCCGGUGCCCAUUGGGACUGGUGGAAUGGAAGGCGGGGAAGCCAACAAUAGGUGGUGCCAGAGUGAACCACAGACGGAGUCAACACAUUCUAGUUUCGCCCUCAUCCUCUUUCCUGAUGAGUUCUACACAGCUAACAAUGAGAGCAAGCAGGGGGAAGCCGACAGCCUGUGCCCCCUUACUGAUUUCAUUUAGUCGUGUCCGACUCUUCGUGACGUCAUGGACCAGAGCAC